rnacentral:snRNA from 1 species
AGAUGUGAGGGCAACCUGGCUGCAGUAACUGUCACCCCAUUGAUCUCCAGGGUUGAUUUAGCUAAUCUGCUGGCUAGGCCAGUGUCACCUUCCUCUCUCACCAGUACAUGUGUGUCCCUCCUGAAGCUGUGUGCUCGGCAGAAGGGGAUGACCACACCCCCGCGCGUCCCACAGAGGAGGACCAUUCGCCAAGGAACCUGCGCUCCUCUGCUAGGGCCUCCAAACGAAGCUCUCAAGAUUUUAAAAUGCCAUCUGCUCUCAACCUGGAGCGGGUAAGACAGGGAGGUAACGGAGUCAUCGGCGAGGCUGGUGUGCCAGAUGGUGACAUCUGUUCUG